GGUUGUAGCUCAGCGGUAUAGCACUCUCCUACCACAUGCGAGGCCCUGGGUUCGAUCCUUAGCACCA
rnacentral:tRNA from 1 species